rnacentral:rRNA from 1 species
UACGGGGGGGGCAAGCGUUGUUCGGAAUUACUGGGCGUAAAGGGUUCGUAGGUGGCUUGUUAAGUCAGACGUGAAAUCCCUCGGCUCAACCGGGGAACUGCGUCUGAGACUGAUGAGCUCGAGUGCAGGAGAGGAACGCGGAAUUCCAGGUGUAGCGGUGAAAUGCGUAGAUAUCUUGAGGAACACCGGUGGCGAAGGCGGCGUUCUGGACUGCAACUGACACUGAGGAACGAAAGCCAGGGGAGCAAACGGG